CUACGGGAGGCAGCAGUGGGGAAUAUUGCACAAUGGGCGCAAGCCUGAUGCAGCCAUGCCGCGUGUGUGAAGAAGGCCUUCGGGUUGUAAAGCACUUUCAGCAGUGAGGAAGGCGGGUACGUUAAUAGCGUGCUCGUUUGACGUUAGCUGCAGAAAAGCACCGGCUAACUCCGUGCCAGCAGCCGCGGUAAUACUGAGGGUGCGAGCGUUAAUCGGAAUUACUGGGCGUANAGCGCAUGCACGUGGUUUGUUAAUUCAGAUGUGAAAGCCCGGGGCUCAACCUCGGAACAGCAUUUGAAACUGGCAGACUAGAGUACUGUAGAGGGGGGUAGAAUUUCAGGUGUAGCGGUGAAAUGCGUAGAGAUCUGAAGGGAAUACCAAGGUGGCNNNUCCNGAAKGGCGGCCCCCUGGACAGAUACUGACWSUCAGAUGCGAAAGCGUGGGGAGCAAACAGGAUUAGAUAYCCUGGUAGUCCACGCCGUAAACGAUGUCUACYUGGAGGUUGUGSCCYGAGCCGUGGCUUUCGGAGCUAACGCGUUAAKUAGACCGCCUGGGGAG
rnacentral:rRNA from 1 species